CAAAUUAAUAAGUAAUUGGAAAAAAAGAAAUCUUACAAUGAUAGGUAAAAUAACAGUUGUAAAAUCUCUUCUUAUACCAAACCUUACAUAUUUAGCUUCAGUCACAAACCUACCACAUGAAUUCAUUCAACAGUUUAAAACUCUUAUCUACAAUUUUAUAUGGGAUGGUAAACGAGAAAAAGUCAAACGAACCACACUAAGCAAAAAUACUACUGAGGGAGGGCUUAAGAUGAC
rnacentral:lncRNA from 1 species